AUCCAGCUGAAAAGUCCCAAAGAGAGCGAAACGCGCGUCCUGGAU
rnacentral:hammerhead_ribozyme from 1 species